rnacentral:tRNA from 1 species
ACCUGGCUGGCUCAGUCAGGAGAGCGUGCAACUCUUGAUCUCAGGGUCUUGAGUUCAAAUCCCACGUUAGGUG